rnacentral:lncRNA from 10 species
AUAUGAUCGGAUCUCUCUCUCUCUCUCUCUCUUUUUCUCUCUCACUGGCUGCUCCAUGCAGAAUGGAUUAGAGUGUGGCUGGGCAAAUGGAGAGGUGGUGGGAACAGUGAAAAAGCCUUUGCAGUAGCACAGUCAGGCGAUGACAGUGGCUGGGCCAAGGAGGUGAAGCUGAAAAUGAAAGCAAAUCUGAGUGGGAGGCAGAAGUGAUCCUGUUAACAACAACUGCCCACUCCAGAUGAGAAGAAGUUUUGUGGUGAAGUGAUAAAUCCUGUGCUGUGCAUGUUUUAAGGAUGCCACCCAAAGAAACAAAAAAUAAGAUGAGAAGACUGGUACAUUUUGGAUCAAAGCAAGGUCCAGAAAUAUCUGUCAGUCUGUACGGAUGUGUUUCCUGGAG